rnacentral:rRNA from 1 species
GGGGAAUAUUGGGCAAUGGGCGAAAGCCUGACCCAGCAACGCCGCGUGAAGGAAGAAGGCUUUCGGGUUGUAAACUUCUUUGACAGGGGACGAAACAAAUGACGGUACCCUGAAAACAAGCCACGGCUAACUACGUGCCAGCAGCCGCGGUAAUACGUAGGUGGCAAGCGUUAUCCGGAUUUACUGGGUGUAAAGGGCGUGUAGGCGGGAUUACAAGUCAGAUGUGAAAACUAUGGGCUCAACCCAUAGCCUGCAUUUGAAACUGUAGUUCUUGAGUGAUGGAGAGGCAGACGGAAUUCCUCGUGUAGCGGUGAAAUGCGUAGAUAUGAGGAGGAACACCAGUGGCGAAGGCGGUCUGCUGGACAUUAACUGACGCUGAGGCGCGAAAGCGUGGGGAGCAAAC